GUACGCUGGCGGCACGCCUAACACAUGCAAGUCGAACGAAGUAGCAAUACUUAGUGGCAGACGGGUGAGUAACAUGUGGGUAUCUACCCUUUGGCCUGGAAUAACACGAGGAAACUUGUGCUAAUACCGGAUAAGUCUUCACGGAGAAAGCUUUAUGCACCAUUGGAUGAGCCUGCACUUGAUUAGUUUGUUGGUGGGGUAAUGGCCUACCAAGACUUUGAUCAAUAGCUGAUUUGAGAGGAUGAUA
rnacentral:rRNA from 1 species